AUUGAACGCUGGCGGCAGGUCUAACACAUGCAAGUCGGACGGUAGCACAGAGGAGCUUGCUCCUCGGGUGACGAGUGGCGGACGGGUGAGUAAUGUCUGGGGAUCUGCCCGAUAGAGGGGGAUAACCACUGGAAACGGUGGCUAAUACCGCAUAACGUCGCAAGACCAAAGAGGGGGACCUUCGGGCCUCUCACUAUCGGAUGAACCCAGAUGGGAUUAGCUAGUAGGCGGGGUAAUGGCCCACCUAGGCGACGAUCCCUAGCUGGUCUGAGAGGAUGACCAGCCACACUGGAACUGAGACACGGUCCAGACUCCUACGGGAGGCAGCAGUGGGGAAUAUUGCACAAUGGGCGCAAGCCUGAUGCAGCCAUGCCGCGUGUAUGAAGAAGGCCUUCGGGUUGUAAAGUACUUUCAGCGGGGAGGAAGGCGAUGUGGUUAAUAACCUUGUCGAUUGACGUUACCCGCAGAGGAAGCACCGGCUAACUCCGUGCCAGCCGCCGCCGUAA
rnacentral:rRNA from 1 species